UCUAAGGAUUUUAACGGAAUAUAAGACCUUGGGUCUUAUAAACAGAACGUUCCCUGUCUUGUUUAGUUUUGAAGGAUCAUUCGAUUCUUCGAGAUGUUGUUCUUUGAAAACUAGAUAACAGAAGUAAUUCACAUUCAAUUAGUAAUGCAAGAUAUCACGUAGUGAUUCUUUUUAAC
rnacentral:misc_RNA from 1 species